CCCAGGAAUCCUCAGAAUGUGAGGUUUCUCUCAAAGGCAUCUUGCAUCAGCCUGUGGAUGUAUGCCUGCCGCCGGCUCCCUCCACCGGCAAAGUGGAAAAAGAAGCGUUUAACAACAAAUUCUUCGUUUGGGGUUGGGGAACGCAGUGGAUUAUAGCUCUGUUUUCUUCUUUCCAAAACUGUGCACUCCUGGAUGAGAGGAGAUCUACAAGUGGUCUGGUGUUCAAUGCUCUAAAAAGUUCCAGGGUUUGUGACUUGAGGCAAAGAAGGUGGAAUAAUUGAAGAGAAGCAGAGGCCAGCUGUUCUGGAAUAUCACACUCCACAGAUAAUGUUCUUCACUCCUUGAUGUAAGUAGGGAGAGUUGCUAAAGCUCUGUUACCACAUUAGACUGGGGGAGU
rnacentral:lncRNA from 1 species